rnacentral:misc_RNA from 1 species
UUUCCGUAGGUGAACCUGCGGAAGGAUCAUUAAAAAAUAUCACAUUUGUUUGUGAUUUAAUAAUCAUCCUACCUUUGUGAAUUUGUUUUUGUUUGAAAUUUAUGUUGUCUAUCCCUGAUAUGGAAGAAAGUCGUUAAGAUUUUUUUCAUUCAGGGAAUAGGCUUCAUAGACAUUUUUUUAAAUUAAACUUUUGUAUUCAUUUGUCUAAAAUUUAUUUUUAAAUAAUUUAAAAACAACUUUUGACAAUGGAUCUCUUGGUUCUCGCAACGAUGAAGAACGCAGCAAAAUGCGAUAAGUAAUGUGAAUUGCAGAAUACGUGAAUCAUCAAAUUUUCGAACGCAUAUUGCACUUUUUUAGUUUACUAAAAAAGUAUGUCUGUUUGGUAUCAGUAAAAUAUUCUCAUAAAACUAUUGUUUUUAUGGUUAUGAGUGUUUUACAACGAUAACAAGUUGUUUCACUUUAAAUUGAUUUUUUUAAUAAGCCAAUUUGGUUUUAUUUUAAAAUUGGAUAAAAUUUUCCCGUAAAAAGGAAUAAACUUUUCAGUUUUAAAAUAAAAUCCUAAAUUGACCUUGAAAAAAGGAAAUUUAAUUAUAAAACUAACUUGAUCUCAAAUCAGAUAAGAGUACCCGCUGAACUUAAGCAUAUCAAUAAGCGGAGGAAAAGAAACUAACAAGGAUUCCUUAGUAACGGCGAGUGAAGCGGGAAGAGCUCAAUUUGAAAUCUUCAAGGUUCUACCUUGACGAAUUGUAGUUUAAAGAAGUGUUUUCUGUUAGUGGAGUGGCAAAAGUUCUUGGAAUAGACAUCAUAGAGGGUGAGAAUCCGUAUUUGGUCAUUCCUUCUAGCUUUGUGAUACACUUUCAAAGAGUCGGAUUGUUAGGAAUGCAGUCCAAAAUGGGUGGUAAAUUUCAUCUAAAGCUAAAUAUUGGCGAGAGACCGAUAGCGACAAGUACCGUGAGGGAAAGAUGAAAAGAACUUUGAAAAGAGAGUUAAACAGUACGUGAAAUUGUCAAAAGGGAAGCGUUUGACACCAGUGUUGUUUUUCCAAAAAUCAAUUAUAAAUGUUUUGUUUCUGAGGAGUGAUGACUUCAUCGGCUUCCUUCUCUCUUCACGAAACUUUUGUAAUGCACUUUUCGGUUAACAAGUCAACAUCAAUUUCUUUUGUUGUAAAGAGUAUUCGGAAGGUGGCUUUCUUUUCGGAGAAAGUGUUUAUAGCCCUAUACUUCUACAAUCGGAGAGAUUGAGGUCUGCAGCGUAGAUCCUUCGGGUUAGAUACAUUUGUGCUAAGUUAUAGCUUUCAUAGACAACUUGUUGACUAUGUUUAGUCUUGUAGCUUACUCGCUUGUGCUAUUUUACCUACGC